GAUGAACGCUGGCGGCGUGCCUAAUACAUGCAAGUCGAGCGAACGGACGAGAAGCUUGCUUCUCUGAUGUUAGCGGCGGACGGGUGAGUAACACGUGGAUAACCUACCUAUAAGACUGGGAUAACUUCGGGAAACCGGAGCUAAUACCGGAUAAUAUUUUGAACCGCAUGGUUCAAAAGUGAAAGACGGUCUUGCUGUCACUUAUAGAUGGAUCCGCGCUGCAUUAGCUAGUUGGUAAGGUAACGGCUUACCAAGGCAACGAUGCAUAGCCGACCUGAGAGGGUGAUCGGCCACACUGGAACUGAGACACGGUCAAGACUCCUAAGGGAGGCAGCAGUAGGGAAUCUUACGCAAUGGGCGAAAGCCUGACGGAGCAACGCCGAGUGAGUGAUGAAGGUCUUCGGAUCGUAAAACUCUGUUAUUAGGGAAGAACAUAUGUGUAAGUAACUGUGCACAUCUUGACGGUACCUAAUCAGAAAGCCACGGCUAACUACGUG
rnacentral:rRNA from 1 species